UAGGGCAUGAACCUGGCAUACAAUGUAGAUUUCUGUGUUUGUUGAGCAACAGCUACAUUGUCUGCUGGGUUUCAGGCUACCUGG
rfam:TPA: Bos taurus chromosome X, whole genome shotgun sequence.